CAUAAGCCUGGCAGCCUGGGGAUUGUAUCCGUGCAGUGCAGAGAUCACCUCCUACCUGAGAGCGCUGAAGCAGAGAGACCCACACAGCAAGGUGCUCGUGGAAGUGUGCUGUGGAAGUUUAACUACAGUUUCAAGCAGGCUGUGAGAUAAAAAAGGUUGGAAAACACUGCUCUGAGGCCUCCAGAGAGAGCGUGGCCUUACUCAGGCCUUCAUUUCAGAUUUCUGGUCUCCAUAACGGUGAGAGAAUAAAUUACUGCUGUUUCAAGCCACCAGGAAAGAAGACAUACAAACCACAAGGAAAGCAUUGAGAAAUCUGACCACAUACGAAAAAAACAACCGUGUUAGAAAAGGUACUGGGAACAAAGUUAAAAUAAAUGACACAAAAAAGGAGAAAUAAUUUGUGACUUGACUCCAGGUUAUUUAAAGAGCACGAAAAUUGACAAAGUCUAUAAGCAGGCAUUUUACAAAAGAGGAAUGACCCCAAACAUAUAAAAAGAUGCUUCGCAUCAUUAACAGUCAGAUAACUGCAAAGUAAAACCAUAACCAUGUGUCAAGUCUUACCCAUCUGAAAGGCAAACAUGGAAGGGUCUGGUAUUGCAAAGUGAGGAGGAGGAGGAAGAUGUGGGACAAGGAAACGCAUAUACUCUGCUAAGUGGAAAUCAGAGAUGCUUUGACCUUUUGGGAUGGUCAUUUGGCAUCAUCUGGUAAAGUUACAGAUGUGCGGAUCACGCUACUCAGCAAUUCCACUUCCCGGGAAGCUCUGGCACCUGUGCACAGUGGGCAUGGCCAAGGACGACCUUGUGCAAUGAGGUAUAUAACAAGAGAGGCCAGAGCAAACAUUCACCUAUGGAGGCCUAAGAAAAAUAAAUGCGGAUGUAUUCAAAAAGCCGAUCUAUAACAUGAUAAUGAAAAACUGUAGGGUAAAUAUCGAAAAUAUGUUACAUGGCCAAAAAAUUGUGACAGGGUACUCAUAAGGCAAACAGAAGAAUAUGUAAGGAAUUCCCUGAUUUUCCAGCUCCUGGAGGCUCCCCCGCUCUACCUCCUUCAGCCAUCCUACCAGCAAUCACCUCCCUGUCCUGGGUUUUAGCCAUCCCGCCUUCCUCCUGACUGCCUCUCCUGCGUCCCUCCUUCCCUACAAGGACUCUGGAGAUUGCACUGGCCCACCUGCAUAAUCCAGAACAAUCUCCCAUCGAAGAUCAUUAACUUAAUCACAUCUGCAAAGUCUCUUUUUCCAGAUAAGGUAACAUAGUCACAGUUUCUGGGAAUUAGGAUGUGGACAUCUUUGGGGGCCCGUUAUUCUGCCUACCACACCUGGUUUCCACAUAGUAAUAAAACUCUCUGGAACUCAGCAGCACUUAAACAAAAUAAAAGGGGGUGAUACAUUAAUGAUUAGAGCAACAGCUAGUAAAUCAUAGCAUGUUACAGCUGGAAGAGACUUGGCAGGCCACUCCUGCUGUACCGAUGUGGAUCCUGAGGUCCAGCAGAGGAAAUCCAUCAUCUGGGGUGAACCGUCAGGUGGCAGCAGCUCCAGCUCUGGCCGGCUCCCUGUUCAGGUCAUCAGGAAUAUCUGCACUGAUUCUUAGAGUUCAGCAAAAGACCACUUAUCUGUUUUAUGGA